UCGAUCUCCUUCUUAUCAGUAUCACCAAACAUCUCAUUCACCACCUGCGCCCUAUCUAUAACAAAUCUCUCUCUCUCUCUCUCUCUCUCUCUCUCUCCCAUUAACCACAACAAAUGGGAGAGAGAGAGAUAGAGAUGAUUCCGAUAAUGUAUCAGUUCGUCCGAUUGGAUGCAUCACUACCCUUUUCUAUUUUCUUUUAUGCAUCACUACCCUCUUCUAUUUACUAUUAAAUUUGGGGAUUUUCUUUUAUGCAUCACUACCCUCUUGUAUUUCAAUCAUUCCAAGUUCAUCGUAUAACAAGGCUUCGUUGGUUUUAUUAGCUAAUGAUCUCUUUCUAGAUGUUAAUUGAUCUCCAGUUAAUUCGUUCACCCCCUUUUUUUAGGGUUUUUUGCUCCCCACACUUCCUUCUUCGUUCUAACCUAGAUGCAAAAAUCGAUGAAACAUGCGUUUUCCGACCUUUAAUAGCUAAGACGGAAACAAAAUCCCCGAAAAUUCGAAAACCCUGCCUUGUUCUCCUUCUUUCUACUUUUCUCUUUUCGGCUCUUCACGCACACAAAGAUGACGAUAAAAUUAAGGGAACGAAGAUUGGAGAGCUUCCACCAUAUACUCAUUCACAUCCCUAUUGUGCGAUUCUAUUAGAAAAAAAAUCAAGUCCACAAUCGAAUUAGGCCGUCCAAGGUUUUCUAACCCUAUAUUCUUGUGAAAUUUCAAGCACAUCUCUCUAAACUGGGACGAGGAUGGAAAAAGACGGAUUGAGCUAACAACUUGAAUAUUCAGCUUAUGCUACUACUUCUAUCCUUAAUUGUUGUCCCAUGGAUGCUGCUACCCAAGCCUUUCAGUUUAAAGGCACAUCAUAACAGAGCACACAAAGGUGAUUCCUAUGUGGCACUUGAAGGGACAGAUGAGUCAUUAGUGGAGGGAGGUCAUCAUGGCUCCCAUGAUCAUGAAGAACUGUUUGAGCUCAGUGAAGUGUUUGUUCAUCAACUUAUUCAUAAAAUUGAGAUUGUACUUGGGGCAGUGUCAAAUACUUGAGAAAAUGAUAAGGUUAUAUUCGUCUAUUUUUUUUUUGUUUCAGGUUAAGGUUCGAGAAGCUGGGACAGAUUGGGGGUGGGGGUGGUUGUAAAUGUAGUGAAAAAGCCGUGCCUUCCAGAAGCUGGGACAGAUUCGGAGAAAUCAUUCUUGUAUAAAUCCAAUGCCUCGAGCUUAAUCAUAGAUCCAACAGAAGCAGGAAGCCUUCCAGACAGAUUAUUGUGUUCUAAAUUAAGCACUUUUAGUUCUUUGAAAUGCCACAAACAGUCUGGAAUUUGUCUGCUUAGAUAGUUAUGAGAGAGGUCAAGUAUAACUAAAAAGCCAUGGAUAACCUCACAUAAAAAGGAGAUUCCUCCAGAAAAUUUGUUUAUGGAAAGAUUUAGUAAUGCCACAGUGGAAGAGACAUUAGUUAUUAGACUAUCAAAGCUGUUGGAGCUUAAAUCUAUCACUGAAUUGUUGUGAAAUAUUGAUGACAGAUCUGUUACUUUCCCACUUUAUGUUUUUGGAAGAAAGAUUCAGGAAUGUUAACCGGGAAGGCCACGAGCCCCAAAACUCGAGAGGAAUAGUAUCUGAAAUACCAUUAUUUGCAAUAUCAAGACUGGAUAUGGGCAUAUAAGAACCUCAGUUUGUGGACCUGGUAAAUCAGAUUGAGAAACUUGAACAACAAUUGAUUUCUCACCCAUUAAACAAGUCUCAAGAUGAAAAUCACCAUUGGUUCUACCAUUGUUAUUGGAUAUUUGCAGAAUUGGUUGUUUUAGGGAAGAUAUCUUCUAUUUUUUUUCUUUAUUAUUUUUUUUUAUAUUUUGUGACAUGGAUUUUUUGCGGGUUAAGCGAUUAAGCGAUAUCUCACCUCAUAUGAACCAUAACCGAUAUGGGAGGUUUGUUAAGUUCAUUUUGUUUUCUGAUGCAAAAAAGUGGCUAAUAUCUUUGUGUUGUGCUGUGGUGUAGCGUUUUCAAUAUCUAUAAUUAAGGUAGAGCAAGCAAUUCUGCAAUGCCUCGAUGUUGUAGCUAAGGCUCCGCAUUGGCCUAUUGGUGUUGAUGGUUAGUAAUUCCACCUGGCCUCGUUAAGCUCUCAAUCUGAUCUGGAAGCUAAUUUGUUUAAGCAUUAUCAGCAAGAUGCAGUAAAGACUUGGAGUUGAAUUUUGCUAAGUCAUAUAAUCAGCUGCUUGGAGCAUUAGUCUUAAAGAAUUAUGAAAGGCAAGAUGCAACUUUAGUUAGUUGGAAUUCGAUGUACAUAGUAGAUUAGAUGCAAAUUUAUAUAUUGUAAGAAAUAGAAUUGUAUGAGAUUAAAUUUAUGCAAUGGA